rfam:Gossypium hirsutum cultivar TM-1 chromosome 9, whole genome shotgun sequence
AUUCCGUGAUGAGGGUACUUCUGAAAUAAUUCUUUGUACCUUUCCUGUGCCUCAUACAUGGACUCAUCAUCCAUUUGUUGGAAGGCAGUGAUCUCAUUUCUCUACU